GGAGGAGCCGGCUGGUUACGGAAACGCCGCUGGAAACGGCGUACACCCUCGGGUGUCGUGGGUUCGAAUCCCACCUCCUCCG
rnacentral:tRNA from 1 species